GACCUGAUGGCACAGUUGGUUAGUGCUUCUGCUCAUAGUGGGUCUGUCACGCAUUUGUUAGCGGAAGGCCCCGGUUCGAUUCCGGGUCGGGUCA